GAUGAAGAACGUAGCAAAUGCGAUAAGUAAUGUGAAUUGCAGAAUUCAGUGAAUCAUCGAAUCUUUGAACGCACAUUGCGCCCGCCAGUAUUCUGGCGGGCAUGCCUGUUCGAGCGUCAUUUCAACCCUCAAGACCCCUUCGGGGGACUUGGUGUUGGGGACCGGCACAGGGGCCUGCCUGCUUGUCUUGCAGCGCCCUCGCCGCCCCCGAAAUGAAUUGGCGGCCUCGUCGCGGCCUCCCCUGCGUAGUAGCACAAACCUCGCAACGGGAACGUGACGGCGGCCACUGCCGUAAAACAACCCAAUUUUAUUAGAGUUGACCUCGAAUCAGGUAGGAAUACCCGCUGAACUUAAGCAUAUCAAUAAGCGGAGGA
rnacentral:misc_RNA from 1 species